ACGAACGCUAGCGGCGUGCUUCACACAUGCAAGUCGAACGGAAAGGCCCUGCUUUUGUGGGGUGCUCGAGUGGCGAACGGGUGAGUAACACGUGAGUAACCUGCCCUUGACUUUGGGAUAACUUCAGGAAACUGGGGCUAAUACCGGAUAGGAGCUCCUGCUGCAUGGUGGGGGUUGGAAAGUUUCGGCGGUUGGGGAUGGACUCGCGGCUUAUCAGCUUGUUGGUGGGGUAGUGGCUUACCAAGGCUUUGACGGGUAGCCGGCCUGAGAGGGUGACCGGCCACAUUGGGACUGAGAUACGGCCCAGACUCCUACGGGAGGCAGCAGUGGGGAAUAUUGCACAACGGGCGGAAGCCUGAUGCAGCAACGCCGCGUGCGGGAUGACGGCCUUCGGGUUGUAAACCGCUUUCGCCUGUGACGAAGCGUGAGUGACGGUAAUGGGUAAAGAAGCACCGGCUAACUACGUG
rnacentral:rRNA from 1 species